AUUCCGUGGUACGGGACGGGCACGCGCGACAUAGGUAGUGGCGGGGUAACGGCCCACCAAGCCGACGAUGUCUAGGGGUUCUGAGAGGAAGGUCCCCCACACUGGAACUGAGACACGGUCCAGACUCCUACGGGAGGCAGCAGUGAGGAAUAUUGGUCAAUGGGCGAGAGCCUGAACCAGCCAAGUCGCGUGAGGGAUGAAUGGUCCAUGGCCUGUAAACCUCUUUUGUCAAGGAAGAAUAAAUUGCACGUGUGCGAUCUUGCCAGUACUUGACGAAUAAGCAUCGGCUAACUCCGUGCCAGCAGCCGCGGUAAUACGGGGGAUGCGAGCGUUAUCCGGAUUUAUUGGGUUUAAAGGGCGCGUAGGCGGGACGCCAAGUCAGCGGUAAAAGACUGCAGCUAAACUGUAGCACGCCGUUGAAACUGGCGCCCUCGAGACGAGACGAGGGAGGCGGAACAAGUGAAGUAGCGGUGAAAUGCUUAGAUAUCACUUGGAACCCCGAUAGCGAAGGCAGCUUCCCAGGCUCGAUCUGACGCUGAUGCGCGAGAGCGUGGGUAGCGAACAGGAUUAGAUACCCUGGUAGUCCACGCCGUAAACGAUGCUCACUGGAUCUUGGCGAUACACUGCCAGGGUUCAAGCGAAAGUAUUAAGUGAGCCACCUGGGGAGUACGUCGGCAACGAUGAAACUCAAAGGAAUUGACGGGGGCCCGCACAAGCGGAGGAACAUGUGGUUUAAUUCGAUGAUACGCGAGGAACCUUACCCGGGUUUAAAUGUAGAUUGCAUGAGGUGGAAACACUUCUUCCCUUCGGGGCUAUUUACAAGGUGCUGCAUGGUUGUCGUCAGCUCGUGCCGUGAGGUGUCGGGUUAAGUCCCAUAACGAGCGCAACCCCUAUCGCCAGUUGCCAUCGGUUCAAGCCGGGCACUCUGUCGAGACUGCCACCGUAAGGUGCGAGGAAGGCGGGGAUGACGUCAAAUCAGCACGGCCCUUACACCCGGGGCGACACACGUGUUACAAUGGCCGGUACAGAGGGCAGCCACGGGGUGACCCG
rnacentral:rRNA from 1 species